UGGACACACGGGGAAUUGAACCCCGGACCUCUCCCAAGCCUGUCACCUUCUCAGAAGGUAGAAAGAUGCUAAGGGAAAAUCAUACCACUAGACCAUGCGCCC